ACUCUAAAACUUGGAUGGUUGAGGAUGGGGGGUUGAGUAGCUGUGGGGAGAACGUUAAUUGUCGCAGCAGCCUUCUCUCUCGGAAAACGUUAAGUGUAAGCUGUUUGGUAGAGUUAAGUGUAAGCUGUUUGGUAGAACGGGCCUUUCCCCUUAGGACUGAUAAUCAGAGGUGAGAGGGUGGAAUUGGCCCCUCAGGCCUUGCUUUCUUUGGUAGAACUAUAAAAUCCAUCAUAGGGCUUGAUUUCCUUAGAUAGGUUGGAGGACAGACUUCUCUUUAGCAGUUACACUAAUUUUCAUUUUUCUCAGAAUGAUCAAGGAAAAAAAGCUUAUAAAACCCCAGAGUGGUAGUUACAUGGCACUUAAUUUACUCCCCCACAUGCAGGCUUUUCUUCAGCACUGUUAUUUUUUUCUUGCUGCCUUUACCGUGUAGGUGGCCUUCUCCGGAUUGCUGCUGACGGGAAAUUGAGCAACCUUUCUUUUUUGGAACAGAAUAUAUUUUACUGCUGAAAGAAAAAAACCUGGUGUUUAUGUUUUGAAAUUUAACUGUGAAUUUUUGUUUGAAGACCAAUUUAAAUCUAGAAAAAUGGAAGUAGGGGUUAAAUCUCAUAUUGUGCACUGAUAUUUCUGACCCUUCCCAGUAAUUUUGGGGCCUUCCUUUUUUUGUGGAAUUACUUUGCUUUGUAAAGCAAAAAUCACUUUGCUUUGUUCUCUUAGCCAUUGAUGGGUAUUAAGCAGUUGUCUUUGACCAGGUUAUUAUUUUUCUUGCUUUUCUCUGAGGCUGUCUUCCCCAAUUGUCUUCUUUCUGUAAUGGAGGUGUGAUGGGCUCCACGUUGAUUUAACAGGCAUCUUGAAUCAAGAAGGUUUUGAGAGGAUUCCUCAAGUUUGACCUCAAGCAAGAUUCACUACUAACUUUGAAGUAGAAUAAGGUUGUACAUUGUUCAUGUGGAUGCUAUUGGCUAAAUUUCUAUAGCAAUGGCACGAGAAUAUAGCACCUGUGAUCUGACCAAGUCACAGCCUGCUUUCCAUAGUCGUAUUUUGACUCCAGCAUACCCAUGCCUGCUGUGUCAUCCUGAUGCCCUGUGUGGCCACAUGCAUCAUAAUACCAACACCCUUUACAUCCCCUUCCAAAAAUGUGAAGAAUGGUAAGAGAAGUAAGCCAAGGACACCAUCCUGGAAUCACUAGCUUUGCACUGGAGCCCAACAAUGAUACUGAGGAGCCAGCAAAAAGAAAGAGGCAAGAGAAAAAUGAAGAACAUGGUUAUCAUGGAAGUGCAGAGAAGAGAGAGUUUCAGGAAGGAGGGAGGGAUCAAGAGUGUACAUGUCUCAAAGAGCCAGUAUGACAAGAACUGUUUUUACACCUGGAGCUUCCCUGGAGGGGAGGGACUGUUUCCUCAAAUAUCCUCGCACCCAGUGUGUACUCAGUGCUCAGAGAGAAUGCAGAAAAGCUGGGGAUGAUUUAGAGGAGAGGAGGAAGCACUUUUCCUAGAAGAUUGGCGUUAUCAGCAAAGGGCGAGGGUUACGAUGUGAUAAACCUUGAGUGAUGAAGGCUUCCAGCUAGUAGAAUUUGGGUGCGUCGUCUUGUUUUCUGAAUUCCGUGAACUUGCUGAACUU
ensembl:lncRNA